GUUUAACCCAGGUAAAUACGUUCGACCGCCGUUCGUGUGACUAUUCCAUGAUCACGUAAUAUAAAAACAUGGAGCAACAACAGUGCUACUAGCAUUCCGAAGUUGGACCCUAUCCCAUGCGCCGUCCACUGGGAAAAUUCCGAAUUCAUUUAAGGUUUGCUGUCAAAUCAGUGCCGUUCACUAGAGGAUCCCUGAGUGCCGUAUCACAGAAUAAAAACCACGACAUUUUGGUUGACUAAACAUGAACUGAUGAAUAGUUGGACCUUGCAAUAGAGAUGGCAACAUCUAAAGACAAAUGGGUUCAGAGGUUCUUUAUUAGCGAGACCUCGCGUCACAAAAAAGGAUUUACAAUCUACAAACUAACAUCAGUGGUAUAUCCAAAAGCAGCUCCAGAUGCAGUUUCACGUGUAUCGAUUUGGAAGCGUUAUAACGACUUCAGGAAUCUCCAUCGCGAGAUGAGUAUACAACAUGAGAGUUUGAAAAUAAAGGAGCCAUUUCCGCAAUUGGUAAAACCUAAGUUUUUCGGCCGUUUUGAGGCUGAAGUUAUUGAAGAGAGGCGACAAUGUGCAAUAAAAUUAAUGGAGUUCAUCGCCAAGUACACCCAACUUUUUACAAGUAAUGCUUUUGUCAAAUUUUUUGAACCAGGAUAUCCUCACAAUUAUCCGACCAAUUGCCGGACCCUCUCAGUUAGCUCGGAUACUUCAGAGGAUGACCAGAAUUUCGACUCUACUGUUAGUGGGACUAAUUAUCUCUCAACAAGUGUACACGUUGCCCAAAACGCUGAGCCAGUUAUCUGGAGCAAGAAAUCAAGCUCCAAUAAUGGGCUUGUUGAAAGUGAGCUAGAAAAUAGCAAAGAUGUUAUCGUAAAUAAUACUGAAGUCAACAUACCUGCAGAAGGUGAAUCAUCGAUAGAUACUUGUCGCAUUAUGGGUGUAAAAACUCAUGCAGAAAUUGAUGGAGAUGCAAAAAGAUCCGAAUACAGUUAUGAGGAAUUAUUGGAGCAAAAGAACGUGAUCAGCAGUCGAAAAGGGACACAGAUGAAUGAGGAAGUCUCGCAAAAUCAAACCACUGAGUGUCUGGUACAUAAUAAUUCUGACUCGCCCAGUGGGCAGAAAGACUCCAGCAAUUAUAUUUUGCUGGCUGCUGCUCACAUGAGCGCUGCUUUUCACCACGAAGCCUUGACCGAAUACAGAGAAGCAUUUACGCAGUACAAACUUGGAAUAUCAAUUCUCUUGAAUGGGGUCCAAUCAGACACAAAUUACAGUCGGAAGACUAAUAUCAAAGAAAAGAUAUUGAAAUAUUUAGAAAGGGCUGAGAAACUUUACCACCAAUAUUUGAAUUGCAAUGUAUCCCCGCUUAGUAAAUCCCGAGAUGAAUUACAAAAUUACAAAGUCUUGCGGAUUGUGGGAUCUGUCAUGCUUGUCAGAGACACAUCUCGGAACUGCAAUAGAGUUAUAAAGACCAUCCAGAAGCCAGCAGGGAGUGUGGCAGGAAGUGCAUACAUCUUUCGGGAUAAAAUUCCAUACAUGGUCCGACUAUAUGACUGCAUAGAAACAGACUCCAUGAUAUUUCUAGUCUUACAGUAUGCGAGCGGUGGAAAGCUUUGGGAGUAUAUAAAGUCUUACUAUAAAAGACGGAAUGCGUUUCCCAAUUGGUAUGAUGAAAGCUUUAUGAAAACAGCAAGGUAUGACGCAAUAAUUAAGUCUAAUUUUAGAAGAAAUUUAGACAAAGAAAGAUUAGAACCGCCUGUAGUAUCGGAGGCCGCGUGUGACUUGAAGUCAACGACUAGUAACGCCAGCGGGAAUUUCGACCUGGUGAUGAAGCCAACUAUCGGGCCUAUGGAGUCACUGAAAACAUUGCAGAAUGAAUCGGGGGGCAGCUCUGAACGCUCUAGAACUCUCCUUACCACACAUCUACUUGUUAAAGCUCGAGAACUGCUCAGAUCUGUUGAUGCUACUCUCAAACAAAGUAAUUCAAUAGCCGGUAGACUGGACGAAUCUGAUAGCAUGAUGCAGACGGAUCAUCGUGUAAUAGACAAAAGACUUGAGAUACGACAUGAGCAGCAGCAUACCCAAAACUUCUCUGAAGACACUGUAGAAAAUGAUUUAGAUAGUUACCAAAGCAUUCCAUCUUCAAACAAAAAAAUUGACCAACAGGAAAGAAUGGAAAAAUUAACUCAACAUUCGAUGAGUUCUGAAAAACAAUUGCUCCAAAAAACUGGACAAACCAAGACUCUUCACUCAGAAUCUACAAGACUUAUAUUGAAUUCCCAUUCAUUACCAGUCAAUUUUUCUCAAAACAAUGAGAUGAAUGCUGACUCGUGGAACAGUUUCAACAAUAUAAAUAGUUUUUCAAAACCAAGGCGGUACUCUGAAGAAACCAGUGUAAUAUUAAAUCAGGACAGAUCUAAUUUAUUCUCGAAUGAAGACAGUGGUAUUGAGAUGGAAGAUGAGCUAUGGAAGCUACCUGAAGGAACGAUCAGAUUCUGGGCUGCUGAACUGCUCCUAACACUCGAUUUUCUUCAUCAACAUAACGUAAUAGUAGGAAAUUUGAGGCCUGAUGAUAUAUUGCUUGGAAAUGGAGGACACCUCGCUGUGACCUACAAAGUCCCUGGUCGUCCUUUUGAUUUUUCACAAGUGCAGAAGCCUUACACAGCCCCUGAACUCUGCAUGUUUCUUCCAACAACCCCUCCAUCUACCGCAGCUGAUGUGUGGAGCUACGGAGUAUUACUCUACGAACUGUUCACUGGAAUCAAAUUCCAGUCCGAGCAUCCCAGGUUGUUUAACUCUCACUCCAUUCUCAAUAUGCCUGACGAUUUAUCUUUACACGCAAAAUCUCUGAUAUCCAGCGUGUUGCGGUACAAGCCGGAGGAGCGAUUGACCAUUACAGAGAUCAAAGAUCACCCAUUCUUUGCAAGUAUUGACUGGUUGAAGUUGCUGAAGUCAUGUACAUCCGAAAAAAUAAAUAUCCAGUAGAUACCAUGAGUAUAGAACAUUGUCAUUAUCUGAUCUGGACGUACUGAUACUCACUACAUGUAUUAUCAUUUCCUGUAUAUCUAGGACGAACAAAUUGUGUGUAGGCAAAUAUUAGAUACUUUAUAAAUCAUUCGUACUGCUGAUUGUCAGCAUAAUUUGAUUAAUAUCUCUUUCGUUAGUAUGAACCCACCUGUUACAAUUUCUGAUACUUCUAUCCUUUGUAGUGAGCAGCUUCAAGAAGUUUUCCUCCAAAAUGGCUCGGCUGCCUUCUGUUUUUGUUUAGAUAAUAGACUAGGGCUCUUAGGACAAAAAUCGUUGAGGCUCAGGCAAACACCAGAGUACGACAAGUGUAGACACCUGAGCAAAGAAGAUCUGGAGGAUGAAUUGAGGCGAGGAGAAUCUUAGGGUGUCAGAUUCAAGUUUUUUAUUUCGAAUACAAGGAUGCUCUAAUCCAACGAUCGUGGACUAGAAAAGGAGACUGCGGCAAUGAGGUUGUACUGAAGGAAAAAUUGCCACCUCCCCUUCAACUUGCACAUUCGAUUUGCAAAAUCCUGAGUGAAGGAUGGUAAACCGAUUUCUGUGCGCUAUCUAGUUGGUAUCAGCACUUUCUGACGAGCACCUUAUUACCUGCAACAGGAAGUGUGCUUACACCUGCUAGUUUACAACUUGCAAAAUAAUUAUCAUACAUAUGCAUAGCGUCGAAUAAUUGAUGUAUACGAAUAAGUCCUUAUGCAAUGUAUUCAUAAGUUGCAUUCAUUCGAAUUACUGGGGCAAUAUUGUAAUAUAGAAACGAACAUUAUUCAUCUUGUCAAUGAUAUUCUAAAGUUUUUGAUAAUUAUUUAAAUAAUGUAUGUAAGCUGAAUGUAUUCCACCUGCAUAACUCAUGAAUAAAUGAGAAGCUAUCUUCAAACGAAAAAA